rnacentral:rRNA from 1 species
CAACUCGCCUGCAUGAAGCUGGAAUUGCUAGUAAUCGCGGAUCAGCAUGCCGCGGUGAAUACGUUCCCGGGCCUUGUACACACCGCCCGUCACACCAUGAGAGUCGGGAACACCCGAAGUCCGUAGUCUAACCGCAAGGAGGGCGCGGCCGAAGGUGGGUCCGGUAAUUGGGGUGAAGUCGUAACAAGGUAGC